ACGCAGCUCUGCUCUGAAACUCAGACUGAGCGAAAAUGAAGCUUCUGGAGGCAGGGCCUUCUGCUCUUGUUUUGUCAUAUUUACUGGAUAGAGGGAUUGACAGACUGCUCCGCCAAUGACAGACGCGCACAGGAUACGUGUUCAGGUAGAACGGUUCCCUGGACGGGCUGGCUGUCUCGGUCCAAGCGGUGCAUGGAUGUGGAGAGGAAAUCUGCAACGGGUAAUAGCUCAGGGCGGUUUGUUCAUCAGCACGAAUUCACCUGUGGUGUUGUGUCGGGAGAUGCAGUAACUGAACCAGCGCACUGAAGAUAAGGCAGCAUGCUGUGGUCAUCACUCACAGGAGGACGAAAAGAAGGAGGAGGAGAGCAACAGAAAAAAUAACUUCAAAACAAUAGAAUAAAUACCUUUUAAUCCACCCCACGUCUUCUUGUUUAUGUGUAAAUACAUGGAAGCAUGGGAGAACUGCACAUAGUUCGUUGUUACUGUGUUAUUAGAGGAUGGGAGAACAGUGGAAACUUUUAAUACAUGUUGCUAGCAUUGGCACUCAGGCCUUACGAAGCUGAUAACACCCUCGCACCGUCCUGAUAAAAUGUAUUACUAGACACAUGAAUACAAUGUGCAUUUGCAAGUUGACUGCAACUCUAAAGACUGCGAAGGUCAGCAUGUGACACAGCACAAUAACCUGUUGAUGUUAACUCUCCCUUGUCUCAUGCAUAUCCACUUUUUGCUAAUAUAAAAAUGAUGUAUUAUUUCUGAUACUACAUUUCAGUUUUGUUUAUUUAGAGGUAUUCUUAUAUCCUUAGAAGUGUUGUAGACUUGUAUACACUGUUGUUUUAAUAUUGAAUGUGUGUGGAGAUGAAAUUGGAGGUUCGAUGUAAUGCAGAGCUUGAUGAGUCUGCUCCCGGGACCAGCUCGGGUACACAUGUAUUUAAUGUAUUUGUAUUUUCACUUGUUUGAAAUUAUCAUUAAACUAAACUAAAUUA